GCCUUCGUGGUGUAGUGGUCAGCACACUCGACGUGUAACCGAGAGGUCCGUGGUUCGAUUCCCGGUGAAGGCG
rfam:Stegodyphus mimosarum contig84771, whole genome shotgun sequence.